rnacentral:rRNA from 1 species
GACGAACGCUGGCGGCGUGCUUAACACAUGCAAGUCGAACGGAAAGGCCCUGCUUUUGUGGGGUGCUCGAGUGGCGAACGGGUGAGUAACACGUGAGUAACCUGCCCUUGACUUUGGGAUAACUUCAGGAAACUGGGGCUAAUACCGGAUAGGAGCUCCUGCUGCAUGGUGGGGGUUGGAAAGUUUCGGCGGUUGGGGAUGGACUCGCGGCUUAUCAGCUUGUUGGUGGGGUAGUGGCUUACCAAGGCUUUGACGGGUAGCCGGCCUGAGAGGGUGACCGGCCACAUUGGGACUGAGAUACGGCCCAGACUCCUACGGGAGGCAGAAGUGGGGAAUAUUGCACAAUGGGCGGAAGCCUGAUGAAGCAACGCCGCGUGCGGGAUGACGGCCUUCGGGUUGUAAACCGCUUUCGCCUGUGACGAAGCGUGAGUGACGGUAAUGGGUAAAGAAGCACCGGCUAACUACGUG